AGAUGAGAUAGACCGUAACCUGGGAUGCUAAGUCUUGGUCUUGGUCUUGGCGCACCGUAAAAAAGGCAGAAUGUAAACAAAGAGAAGCGUCCACUGCCUCUAAAACCCGCCCCUUAAAAUACUGAAGAAGAAGAAGAAGGGGAUUUAAAGGGAUACAAGGAAGGAAAGAGACCAACCCCAAGCUGACCUGACUCGAGAGGAUGCUGCGUGACCUGACCUCAGUGCUGGUGGGGGGGUCGCGGGGCCUCCCUCCCCUCCUCUCCUUCCUCUUCAAGCUCGCCUGGGCCUCCCGCGUACGGCUGCCCUUAAUAAUCGCCGUCGGGUUCAUGGUGACCAACAUCCACCUGAGACUGGAGAUAAAUGUGAAUAUUGAGGUCGGCGAGGAUGAGGCAGCUGGCGGCGGAGGAGGAGGAGGAGGAGGAGGGCAGCGGGUGAAUGAGGAGGAGGAAGAGGAGACGGAGGAGGAGGUGGAGGUGUAAGGAGGAAGACGAAGGAAGAGGGAGAGAAGAAGAAAAAGGUGGUGGAGGUUUAGAGUAGUGGAAGAGGAAGGAGGAGGAGGAGGAGGAGGAGAGAAGAUUAUAGUGCAAAGGAAAAAUUUGGAAAAGGAAGAUGUUUAGAGGAGGAGGAGGAGAAGAUGUUGAGAAGAAAGAGAGGAAGAGAGAAGGAGGAGAUAAUAAUGGAGGAGGAAGAGAUGUAGAAGUGGAGAAGGACAAGUGUGAAAAUGUGGAAUUAGAAAGAAAUGGCGGAGGAGGAGGAGGAGGAGGAGGAAGAUAAGAAACAGUACAGAAAGAAACAAAAUAAGGAUGAAGAAGAAAACAGAAAAGAAGGAGAAGAAAACAAAAAGAAAUUAGAAGAAUGAAGAAAGAUGGAAAUUAAUUGUGGUGUGUGUGUGUGUGUGUGUGGAGAGAAAAGGAAAAAAAAAGAAAGAAAAGAAAGGAAAAGAAAAGAACGAAUGUGCUGGAAAAAUGAAGAAAAACAAGAAAAAAAGAAUUAUGUGUUGUAAAGAAGAAAAAGAAGUGUGUGCGUGUGACCUAACUGUGAUAAUAACUAAAAAAAACAAUAAGACAUUAACCUAACAUGACCUACAGCUGCAACCUCCCUGACCCCAAAACCCCAAGUGCAUAGUGACCUGACCCCAAGCCCGGCAUAGCACCCACCCCCCCCCCCCCCCCCCCAAGCCAAGCGAGUGUAAGGGUUCAGAACGCAUUAUCUGGGUCAUUAAACUCAAGUGUUCCCAGUCUCGUAAAUGUGAAAUGGUAUUGUUUAAAUGCUUUCCGAGAGAGGGUUGGAAUGUCCUCUGUUGACAUAUGUGGGUUUCAAUGCUUUAGCUAACUUACUAUAUAUAUAUACUGCCAUUUUUAUUAUUAUUAUUGUUAUUGUUUUGUUGGUAACUGUGACCCUGUUGCCGUUAGUCUAAGUUGGUCAAUGGUUGUGUUUCUCUUUCUAUCUACCUAUCUCUUUCAUCAUCGCUGUCAUAAUUUCCAUCCUUUGUUUAAUUCUCUUCUAUUCUCUUUCCCUUCCCUUUUUUCUAAUGGUCAUGGGGAUGGAAGGGAGGAAGAAUGGCAGGAAUUUAGGGAGAGGAAAGGGAAAGAAAGGGAGGGGAAGGGAAGGAACGAGAGGAAAGAAAUAGGAGUAGGAAGGGAGAGGGAGGAAGAAAUGGGAAGAGGGAAAGGAAAGGAACAAGAAGCAAAGAGGAAAGAAAUAGGAGUAGGAAGGGAGAGGGAGGAAGAAAUGGGAAGAGGGAAAGGAAAUAGAUAGGAAAGGAAAGGAACAAGAAGCAAAGAGGAAAGAAAUAGGAGUGGGAAGGGAGAGGGAGGAAGAAAUGGGAAGAGGGAAAGGAAAUAGAUAGGAAAGGAAAGGAACAAGAAGCAAAGGGGAAAGAAAUAGGAGUAGGAAGGGAGAGGGAGGAAGAAAUGGGAAGAGGGAAAGGAAAUACGUAGAUAGGAAAGGAAAGGAACAAGAAGCAAAGAGGAAAGGAGAGAGAGAAGAGGAAGGGGAUUCUUCGUGCUCUUUGGGGACUACUCUUGAAGGGGUGACUGCCAUAUUUAGAGGAGUGUUCAGCUUCCUUUCUAGAUUCUUGUUGUGGUUUUAUUUCAUGCUUUUUUAUUAAUCUAUUGUCAACACAUUUUCUACUUAUAUUGUUUCCUUCCUUAGGUUGUCUAUUUGUUGUUUAUCUGGUGUGGAUCUGUUAUUUCAGGCUCGCAAUGCCUCCUUUCUCGGCAUAUACUGCAUUUCACCCACCCACUGAUAUAAAGGCUUGGCUGUGUGUUGAUGAGGCUACUAAUACUGAUACCUGGACACACACCAAUCCUCGUAGACAGGGGGCUUCGUGGUGCAGUGGUUAGCACACUCGGCUCACAAUCGAGAGAGCCCGGGUUCGAUUCCCGGGCGAAGUGGAAAAAUUUGGACAGCUUUUCUGAUACCCUACGCCCCUGUCCACCCAGCAGUGAAUGGGUACCAGGUAUUAAUCAGGGGUUGUGUCCCGUCUCCUGGGAUCUGUUCCCUUCUCCUAUAAUUCCUUCCCCUUCUGUCUCUCUCUGGCAUAUGACCACAGAUGUUGCACCAACUAAACAAAACUUUCCAACUUUCCUUGUAGAUGACUGACUUCACACACCAAUCCUUGUAGACAGACUGAUUUCACACACCAAUCCUCAUAGACAGACUGACUUCACACACCAAUCCUUGUAGACAGACUGAUUUCACACACCAAUCCUUGUAGACAGACUGAUUUCACACACCAAUCCUUGUAGACAGACUGAUUUCACACACCAAUCCUCAUAGACAGACUGACUUCACACACCAAUCCUUGUAGACAGACUGAUUUCACACACCAAUCCUCAUAGACAGACUGACUUCACACACCAAUCCUAGUAGACAGACUGAUUUCACACACCAAUCCUUGUAGACAGACUGAUUUCACACACCAAUCCUCAUAGACAGACUGACUUCACACACCAAUCCUUGUAGACAGACUGAUUUCACACACCAAUCCUCAUAGACAGACUGACUUCACACACCAAUCCUUGUAGACAGACUGAUUUCACACACCAAUCCUUGUAGACAGACUGAUUUCACACACCAAUCCUCAUAGACAGACUGAUUUCACACACCAAUCCUCAUAGACAGACUGACUUCACACACCAAUCCUUGUAGACAGACUGAUUUCACACACAAAUCCUCAUAGACAGACUGACUUCACACACCAAUCCUCGUAGACAGACUGACUUCACACACCAAUCCUCAUAGACAGACUGACUUCACACACCAAUCCUCAUAGACAGACUGACUUCACACACCAAUCCUCGUAGACAGACUGACUUCACACACCAAUCCUCGUAGACAGACAUUUCACACACCAAUCCUCGUAGACAGACUGACUUCACACACCAAUCCUCGUAGACAGACUGACUUCACACACCAAUCCUCGUAGACAGACUGACUUCACACACCAAUCCUCAUAGACAGACUGACUUCACACACCAAUCCUCGUAGACAGACUGACUUCACACACCAAUCCUCAUAGACAGACUGACUUCACACA